rnacentral:rRNA from 1 species
GACGAACGCUGGCGGCGUGCCUAACACAUGCAAGUCGAGCGAGGUUAUUCUUUCGGGGAUAACCUAGCGGCGGACGGGUGAGUAACACGUGGGUAACCUGCCUUAUAGAGGGGGAUAGCCUUCCGAAAGGAAGAUUAAUACCGCAUAACAUCAAGCUUUCGCAUGGAAGUUUGAUCAAAGGAGUAUCCGGUAUAAGAUGGACCCGCGGCGCGUUAGCUAGUUGGGGAGGUAACGGCUCACCAAGGCGACGAUACGUAGCCGACCUGGGGGGGUGAUCGGCCACAUUGGGACUGAGACACGGCCCAGACUCCUACGGGUGGCAGCAUUGGGGAAUAUUGCACAAUGGGGGAAACCCUGAUGCAGCAACGCCGCGUGAGUGAUGAAGGCCUUCGGGUUGUAAAGCUCUGUCUUUGGGGACGAUAAUGACGGUACCCAAGGAGGAAGCCACGGCUAACUACGUGCCAGCCGCCGCAGUAACAC